UACAGAGGGGGCAAGCGUUGUUCGGAAUUACUGGGCGUAAAGGGCGCGUAGGCGGCCUUCUAAGUCGAACGUGAAAUCCCCGGGCUCAACCCGGGAACUGCGUCCGAUACUGGAAGGCUUGAAUCCGGGAGAGGGAUGCGGAAUUCCAGGUGUAGCGGUGAAAUGCGUAGAUAUCAGGAAGAACACCGGUGGCGAAGGCGGGUCUCUGGGCCGAUACUGACGCUGAGGAGCGAAAGCGUGGGGAGCGAACAGG
rnacentral:rRNA from 1 species